UUACAGCCAUAUCAAAUUGAAAGACCUGUUCCCAUACAAUAACUGAAGUUAAGCAACAAUGAGCCUGGUUAGUACCUAAAUGGGUGACUGUUUGGGAAUACCAAGUGCUGUAAG